UUGAUUCUGUGCAAGGCCUUCUGGAAUGGGGUUGGGGCUGUAACACACGCAUGGAUGACAUGGAAACUCUUGGUCCAGUCCUGGGAAAUUGAUGCUUUCUUUCCUUUCGCAAACCAGAGAGACCCAGCAGUGUUUGCUCAGACUUUUCUUUUUCACUCUCCGAAUCUUCAUGCCCCCUGGGAUCUGAUGAGCAAGGGCUACAAUGGAAGAAGUAUGACAAAUAGUGCAGUGGUUCUCAAAGUAUGGUCCCUGUACCAGCAGCAUCCGCAUCACCGGGGAACUCGUCAGAAACACAAACUCUCCUGCCCACACAGCAGACCUACUAAAUCAGUAAUCGUCGGGUGGGGCCCAGCCAUCAGUAUUUUAACCAACCUUCCAGGAGAUUCUGGCCCACUAGAGCUGGGAACCACUGAUUAAGCACACAGACGGAACAUGAGCAGACUUUGCUUCAAAUGCCAGCUCUCCAGCUUACUUCUUGGAUACUGACAACAUCCAAGAUCCAUUCCUGAUUGAAAGUCUCAGCAAAUUAGGAAUCGAAGGGGAAUAGAAGGAGGCCUCUUCUAUUUGUCCAAGGGUACCCACAGAAGAACCCACUGGUAACAUCUUCCUUAACGCUCAAAACUGGCCCCUCCACCCAGGAUCAGGAACAAGGCUGUGACUGAUCUCUCCAUUCAAAGAUUAUUUCGGAAAUCUGGGAGCGUGAGCUGCUUAAAGAGAAAGACUGUGGGGAGUGGGGAGGGCAGCCUGUGAAUCUGUCCUCUGUGCCUUCCCCAGACAAAUGGCCCUCCUCGCCUGGCUGGCCCUGGGAAGGGCCUGGGCGACCACAGCUACAAAGACUCGGGCACCUGCAGGACCAUCGGUCAUGAGGCAACUGCUCUCACUUGGUUUCUGAAGGAGUCAAGGCCUCCUCAGCCACUUUGUCCAUUAGCAUAAUGUGUGUCUACAUGACAUAAAUCAAGAAUCUAGUGCACAUGAAUGUCCAGCUAAGCUGUGCAAACAGGCCUUAGAAGGCCCAGAUUUG